rnacentral:rRNA from 1 species
UAAUUUUUUGUUAUAUAUAUAUUAGGAUUGCAUCCUAUUGUAGGAUAAUUUACAUUUUUAUGUAUAAUUGAAAUACAGAGUAGGAUGUCUAUUUGGUGUCAAUGUUACAAAUUGACUUUUAUUAGAUAUGGAGUUGAAAUUUCGUUCUGUAUGAUAUCAGUUUUUUUUUCAUAUACUAGAAAAUUGUAACUUUUGAUUUUUUGUUUUUGGGUGUCUAGAGUUCGUAGUGCUUUUGUUAUUAGUUUCAUAACUAUACCCGGAUAAAAUAUUUAUUUUUUUUUUUAUAUUGUAAAGCUUUACAAUAUUAAUUAUCUACAAAUUAGUAGACUUGUAAAAUAUUAUAUGUGUUUUUAAUAUAUUUGGAAAACUCAGAGUCGAGAUCAAAUGUUUUUUAAAGACUUAGGGUAUUUAAUAUACCUGGCUUCUGCCCGAUGUAUUAAUUUAUCAAUGGCAGACUUAGCGUGAGGUCAUUAAGGUAGCAAAAUCAUUUGUUUCUUUAUUGGAUUCCAGUAUGAAUGAAGUUUUGGUCAGUUUUCUUUCUUCUUUUAUUUCGAAUUUAUUAUCUAUCUAAGAAAUGAUAGGUGCAUUAAUACAAAGAUAAGUCUUCGGAAACUCUAUUUGUUAUUUUUUAUUAUUUAAAAAUGACAAGUUAGCUAGGGCAGUUAAUUAAAUAAUCAUUUUUUUCCUAUUUUUAUUACAAGGAGUUACUCCGGAGUUAACAGAAAUUCAUACCUGAUUUAGUUCUUAUAAUAGGGUAAGUUUUACAUCGAUGUUGUAUCUCCAUAUACCGAGAAAGAACAAGGCUUGGUAAUUCAGACUGUUCUUCUGUGAGAUAAUGGGACGUGAUAUUAGUUUAAUUCGACGUAAGUCAGAAUUGUUUAUCUUGAUUAUUGCUUUUAUUUAGUAUGUUUAGUACGUAAGGAAUUACACUACAGUAUUAUACUUUUU